rnacentral:sRNA from 1 species
CACCGCCUGGGGAGUACGACCGCAAGGUUAAAACUCAAAUGAAUUGACGGGGACCCGCACAAGCAGUGGAGCAUGUGGUUUAAUUCGAAGAUACGCGCAGAACCUUACCAACUCUUGACAUGUUCGUCGCGACUUUAAGAGAUUAAAGUCUUCGGUUCGGCCGGACGAAACACAGGUGCUGCAUGGCUGUCGUCAGCUCGUGUCGUGAGAUGUUGGGUUAAGUCCCGCAACGAGCGCAACCCUCACUUUUAGUUGCCAUCAUUUAGUUGGGUACUCUAAAAGAACUGCCAGUGAUAAGCUGGAGGAAGGUGGGGAUGACGUCAAGUCCUCAUGGCCCUUAUGAGUUGGGCUACACACGUGCUACAAUGGUACUCACAAUGAGAUGCUAAGAGGCGACUCUAAGCCAAUCCAAAAAGGUACCUCAGUUCGGGUUGUACUCUGCAACUCGAGUACAUGAAGCUGGAAUUGCUAGUAAUCGCGGAUCAGCGCGCCGCGGUGAAUACGUUCCCGGGUCUUGUACACACCGCCCGUCACACCAUGGAAGUUGGUUACACCUUAAGGCAAAGCAUAAAACCUUUGACUACGGUACGAUCAGCGACUGGGGUGAAGUCGUAACAAGGUAGCCGUAGGGGAACCUGCGGCUGGAUCACCUCCUUUCUAAGGAAAUCGAAAAAUAUUAAAUCAAUUAUUUUCGAUUUAAAAAAAACGGUAAUGUGACCGUCCUCAUUUCUCUUCUUUAAUAAUGUCUCUGAGUAAAAAUGUAGGGGCCGGUAGCUCAGGUGGUUAGAGCGCACCCCUGAUAAGGGUGAGGUCGGAAGUUCGAGUCUUCCUCGGCCCACCAAUAUUAUGGGGGAUUAGCUCAGCUGGGAGAGCGCCUGAUUUGCAUUCAGGAGGUCAGCGGUUCGAUCCCGCUAUCCUCCACCAAUAAAUUGAGACAUUUAGCUUUUUUAAAUUGUGAAUAUUAUUAUUAUCAAUAUCUAUAUCCGAUUGUUUUCAAAAAUAUCUGAAAACAAUCAAACAAAAAUUUAAUUUAUUACAGAAAAGUUUUUUUCUG